rnacentral:lncRNA from 1 species
ACUUAUUUUUUUAUUUUCUCAGUUUUUGCUUGAGAAAUUGACAAGUAUACAAUUACAGCAACAUUUUAUCCUUGUUUUUCCUGUUAAGUGGAAAGCAAAAUUCCUGUAAUGCAGAUUCAAGAAUGCAUAUGAGUACAUAAUGUUAUUGAAUUCAACACAUACGAUUCAAUUGCAACUAUAAAUUUUGUAUUGAAGGUGAGUUUUCUCCUUUUCUAGCUUUUAAGUGGCUUUCUACUUUGAUUUCAUAUAUAAUUUUAGCUUUUUUCACUUAUCUAUAAAACCCCCUUUUUUUCCCCUGCUACUGGUUGUUUUACUAAUAAGUCAGUUGUUAUAUUAAUAUGUAUAAGCGUGAAUUUCAAUAUUUCAUUUGUGAGCUUAUGAAUUUGGUCUUUGAAUAUCUACUAAAAUAGCAACUAGAGGGAAUGAUAGUAGUUAGUUUAUAGAGUGGUGACAGUGAUGAUAAUUUCUUGUGGGUGUUGUUUUACUCUAAAUUUUAUUCUUCCUCCCACACUACAUUAGAAAAACAUGAAGGAACAACUUCUCAUUAAAAUCAAAGGAGAGAAGAAAAUAAAACUGCAUAACCCUUAAAAACAGUGCAUAGCCUAAUUACAUUAAAUUUCUCACAUAACUUUCCUUAGAGACAAGAGUUAGCUUACUUGAAUUAUUCAUUACAAUAUCAAGCAUAAACACUAAUGAGGAUGUAAGAAAUAUUCACUGAAAUGGAUAUCUGUUGCAAUCUUCCUUCUAUAUAUACUCAUCAUGUCUGCUGAAAUAGUUUCUAUUGGAUGUUUUAGGAUGAAACAUUCUAUGAAUUUAACCAUAAAAAUUGGGCAAUCAGGCUUGUAGAGUAAACAAAUAGUUUAUGUUAGAUUAGAUUAAUAAUAAGAUCUAAUUAGAAUAUUGUAGUACAUAAUAAACAGUUUUAGUGUUUACCCAUUGUCUGCACAAGAUAAGUAAGGUAUAAUCUCCAACUUCCUAUCUUUAUUUCUAUAUUUUCUUACAUCUUUUCUCAGAGGAGUUGAAAACAAUAAUAAUGUUUGGACCAUACCAACUGUUGCCAUUACAUGAUUUUUAGCUUCUUUUUUUGUGUGAACAUUGUUGUUGCAAUUGUAUAUUUGGAAUUUUCACUCACGAAUGUUAACGACAAAAAGGUACCAUGUAUUACCUGGGUAUGAACAUAGAAUUAAUAGAUAGUUGCGACGACCAGCUACAGGUAAUUCACCAUUAGCAUAUCUGUGUAAAUCAAUUGUUUCAGUGUCUGAUCUCUGCCGUUAACUCCUUUUUCUGAGUUUAUGACCAAAAAUAUUUGGCGAACACAUUCAAUUUGAAAUGCAAAAUCCAUGAUCACAUAUUCUUGAGAAAUAAGUGUACAACCUUCAUUAAUCCGCCAUCUCAAUAGGUUUAACUCCACCUCAAUGUUCUAAUAAAAUAAAUAGGCAUAAAUUAAAUAUAUAACAAUCAAAUAAAACUUAUUGUAAUUACUAAACUUUACUUACUGCAAUGGUUAAAUCUUUUGUUAUAUCCAAUAAAUCCUUCAAUACAUAUCUUCCAUACAUAUUGCCACAUCCGUCUUCCCAAUAUGUGUUGUGUAACCAACUUAAAUUAACGUUAGGUUAAUCGAAACAAAAUUAUAAUAUUAAAGCUGACAAAGUAAAAUUAAAUUUCUUAUCCAACUAGUCUCGAUCCAAUCUCUAAUUGUUGUGUAUCUCUUCAUCAGAUGAUCUUCUAAUGAAAAUUUUAUAGGGGAAGAUUAUACCUCUUUCCCCUUAUUUUUCCUUUCUCUUCGCAAUCUUUCAAAACCCUCAAUUUGUUGUUGUUGAUGUUUAGAUGUCAAAGAUGGCUUUAGUUCAAUCUUAGGAAUUGAACUGUUGGAAAUUGAAGUACUAAGAAUUGAAGUAGUUGUAGAAAGAUUUUGCUGUAUGGAGCCUAUAAUUGCUUUCAUAUUUAAUUCCCAGUCAUGUAAUUCAUUCAACAUACUCUUAUUUUUUUUCAUCAAUUUAAGAUCUUAGUGAAUUCAUGCUAACAUCCACAUAAGAUUUCAUGCCCGAAUGGAUGUUUUGAUAAUGAAUUUCUUGUCACUUCCGUUGUUCUUCAAAGAAUUGUUGUUGAUUGUCAAGUAUUGCUUGGUAAUCAGCUUGUUGUCUUUUUUAUUCCUGAGCAAUAUAAUAUUCUUGUCAUUUUUGAUGCUGUUGAAACAAUUAUUUUUUAUUUUCCAACAAUUCUUCUUUUAGGUUGUUGUUGUAUAUAACCAACAUUUCUUCCAUUUCCUUUUUACUUAUGUAGUUGCACUCACCAGAAGAUGUUGCAGAACUAGGUUGAACUCCAACUGAACCAUGUGUUCUUAAACUACCAGGAAUAGUCAUUUGUUCCACAUUCAAGUGUCUUCUUGAACUACCAGAAAGAGGCAUUUGUUCUACAUUUAAGUCAUCUGGAAUUUGUUCUUCUGCUACAUCGUUCAGAUUUCUAUUUUUCACAAUAGCAUCUAAUAUGCUGUGUUGAAUGUGCAAUGGCAGUGAUAGAGUAGAAUGCCAUAAUGUAUGCAAUUCUUGUUUCCCUGGUUGCAGUAAUGCAAUUGCAUCAAUCUGUGGAAUCAAAUAUAUGAGAAUGAUUGAUUUUUUUUUUUGUAUAUUUAAAUGUAUUUGUAAUUACAAAUUGAUAAAUAAGAAAA